rnacentral:rRNA from 1 species
AAUGGGCGAGAGCCUGAACCAGCCAAGUCGCGUGAAGGAAGAAGGUUCUAUGGAUUGUAAACUUCUUUUGUAAGGGAAUAAAAAAGAGUACGUGUACUCUAUUGUAUGUACUUUACGAAUAAGGAUCGGCUAACUCCGUGCCAGCAGCCGCGGUAAUACGGAGGAUCCGAGCGUUAUCCGGAUUUAUUGGGUUUAAAGGGUGCGUAGGCGGACUUAUAAGUCAGCGGUGAAAGUUUGCAGCUUAACUGUAAAAUUGCCGUUGAAACUGUUAGUCUUGAGUGUAAAUGAGGUAGGCGGAAUGUGUUGUGUAGCGGUGAAAUGCUUAGAUAUAACACAGAACACCAAUUGCGAAGGCAGCUUACUGGGAUACAACUGACGCUGAGGCACGAAAGCGUGGGGAUCAAA